UCUACGGGCCCGUGCUUCCAAUCUCCU
rnacentral:piRNA from 1 species